CCGGCUGCCAGCCUAUCGUCGCCGCCGCCUCGCAAAGUCCGCUUCCUGGGUCAGCCAAUCAGAGAUCUGUUGCGAGGUUGCCCGAGGGAAGAUAGGUACGUCACGGGGGUGGCAGGGCCCUUAACGGGCAGGGGCGUGGCCAGAGGAGGGCGAAGUCGGGACGUUAAGGGCCGCAGAGCGCGUGCGCAGGAACGUGGAAAGUUCCAGGACACGGAACCGUUGGGACGGAGGACCUGAAGGUGGAGUGAGUGGACUCACCCUGAAUUCUUUCUUGCACGAGAUCCAAGAAUUCUCCCUUGGGAUCUGGACUGGACCCCUUUCCUGUAACAGAAUUACAGUUUUUGAGAUGGAGUUUCACUCUUCUUGCCCAGGCUGGAG
rnacentral:lncRNA from 1 species